GUAUCCUCUCUCGGCCGAACGGAGGAGAGAACGGGAGAGGAGAACGGGAGCUCUGUAGAUGGGUUCUUACCCUCGGAAGGUCCCUCUCUCAUUUCUAUGGAUCCUUGUCUGUGCGCUGCUGCUGACGCCGACCUCUGCUAUCAGGAAGGCAAGUAACACUGAUCUGGUUUUCCUUGUUUUUUUUUUCGGUCCUCAGCAAUCCUUCUAUUGAUGGGUUUCCCGUCUCUUCCAUGAAGUCAUAUGUUGUAUACAUGGGGGAACAUCGUCACAGCCGGGAAAAGGUGUCCUUGGUACAGGCGGAUGUGAUCACAGAAUCCCACCACGAGUUCCUGGAAUCCUUCGUGGGAAG
rnacentral:lncRNA from 1 species